rnacentral:rRNA from 1 species
GUGGGGAAUAUUGGGCAAUGGGCGCAAGCCUGACCCAGCAACGCCGCGUGAAGGAAGAAGGCUUUCGGGUUGUAAACUUCUUUUACCAGGGACGAAACAAAUGACGGUACCUGGUGAAUAAGCCACGGCUAACUACGUGCCAGCAGCCGCGGUAAUACGUAGGUGGCGAGCGUUAUCCGGAUUUAUUGGGUGUAAAGGGCGUGUAGGCGGGACAGCAAGUCAGAUGUGAAAACCAGAGGCUCAACCUCUGGCCUGCAUUUGAAACUGUUGUUCUUGAGUGUCGGAGAGGGAAUCGGAAUUCCGUGUGUAGCGGUGAAAUGCGUAGAUAUACGGAGGAACACCAGUGGCGAAGGCGGAUUACUGGACGAUAACUGACGCUGAGGCGCGAAGGCGUGGGGAGCAAACAGGAUUAGAUACCCCGGUAGUCC